rnacentral:rRNA from 1 species
GUCUACGGCCAUACCACCCGGAACGCGCCCCAACUUGUCUGAUCUCAGAAGCUAAGCAGGGUCAGGCCUGGUUAGUACUUGGACCGGAGAAUCUCACUCUGUCACCCUGGCCA